UUCUGGAACUGAAAGACCUCCGGAGUGGGGAGACCCUCACUCAAGUCUCGGGAUGACUCGACCCCCCAAGAACUCACGUAAGACC
rnacentral:pre_miRNA from 14 species